rnacentral:rRNA from 2 species
GUGCAGAAGAGGAGAGUGGAAUUUCCACGUGUAGCGGUGAAAUGCGUAGAGAUGUGGAGGAACACCAGUGGCGAAGGCGACUCUCUGGUCUGUAACUGACGCUGAGGAGCGAAAGCGUGGGGAGCGAACAGGAUUAGAUACCCUGGUAGUCCACGCCGUACACGAUGAGUGCUAAGUGUUAGGGGGUUUCCGCCCCUUAGUGCUGCAGCUAACGCAUUAAGCACUCCCCCNGGGGAGUACGGUCGCAAGACUGAAACUCAAAGGAAUUGACGGGGGCCCGCACAAGCGGUGGAGCAUGUGGUUUAAUUCGAAGCAACGCGAACAACCUUACCAGGUCUUGACAUCCUCUGACNAUCCUAAAGAUAUGACGUCCCCUUC